rnacentral:rRNA from 1 species
AAUGAACGCUGGCGGCGCGUCUAAUACAUGCAAGUCGAGCGAACAGACCAGGUGCUUGCCCCUCUGCCGUUAGUGGCGGACGGGAGAGUUACACGCGGAUAACCUACCUAUAAGAGAGGGAUAACUUUGGGACACCGGAGCCAAUACCGGAUAACAUAUUGAACUGCAUGGUUCAAUAGUGAAAGACGGCUUUGCUGUCACUUAUAGAUGGAUCCGGGCCGCCUUAGCUAGCUGGUAAGGUAACGGUUUCCCAAGGCAACGAUGCGUAGCCCUCCUGAGAGUGGGAGCGCUCACACCAUAUCUGAGACACCGUCCAGACUCCUACGGGACGCCGCGGUAGGGAACCUUCCCCCAUGCCCGCAAUCUUGACUGAGCAGCGGCGCUUCAGUGGUGUAGGCCUUCGGAUCGUAAAACUCUUUUAUUAGGGAAGAUCAAAUUUGUAAUUAACUAUGCACUUCUUGACGGUACCUAGUCAGAAAUCCCCGGCUAACUACGUC